CCUACGGGAGGCAGCAGUCGGGAAUAUUUCUCAAUGGGGGAAACCCUGAAGCAGCAACGCCGCGUGGGGGAUGAAGGUUCUAGGAUUGUUAACUCCUUUUGUUAGAGAAGAUUAUGACGGUAUCUAACGAAUAAGCACCGGCUAACUCCGGGCCAGCAGCCGCGGUCAUACGGAGGGUGCAAGCGGUACUCGGAAUCACUGGGGGUAAAGGGUGCGUAGGCGGGGUAAUAAGUCAGAUGGGAAAGCCUGUAGCGUAAGUUCAGAACUGCAUUUGAAACUGGUACUCUGGAGUGUGGGAGAGGUAGGUGGAAUUCUUGGUGUAGGGGUAAAAUCCGUAGAGAUCAAGAGGAAUACUCAUUGCGAAGGCGACCUGCUGGAACAUUACUGACGCUGAUGCACGAAAGCGUGGGGAGCGAACAGGAUUAGAUACCCCUGUAGUC
rnacentral:rRNA from 1 species